rnacentral:RNase_P_RNA from 3 species
CGAGUUGGCUGGGCGGCCGCGGACCUGAUGGUUCGAGGAAAGUCCGGACUUCACAGAGCAGGGUGAUUGCUAACGGCAAUCCGAGGUGACUCGCGGGAAAGUGCCACAGAAAACAGACCGCCACUUCACGGUGGUAAGGGUGAAACGGUGCGGUAAGAGCGCACCAGCAUCCCGGGUGACCGGGAUGGCUAGGCAAACCCCACCCGAAGCAAGGCCAAGAGGCCGCACCUGGUGCGGCUGCGCAGGCGCUCGAGGGUUGCUCGCCCGAGCCUGCGGGUAGGCCGCUCGAGGUACCCGGUGACGGUGUGCCCAGAUGGAUGGUCGCCGCCUCGGCGCCGUGGUAAUUCGCGGCGGUGAGGAACAGAAUCCGGCUUAUAGGCCAACUCGUUCG